rnacentral:rRNA from 1 species
UACGGGGGGGGUAAGCGUUGUUCGGAAUUACUGGGCGUAAAGGGCUCGUAGGCGGCCAACUAAGUCGGACGUGAAAUCCCUCAGCUUAACUGGGGAACUGCGUCCGAUACUGGAUGGCUUGGAUUUGGGAGAGGGAUGCGGAAUUCCAGGUGUAGCGGUGAAAUGCGUAGAUAUCUGGAGGAAUACCGGUGGCGAAGGCGGCAUCCUGGACCGACAUUGACGCUGAUGAGCGAAAGCUAGGGGAGCAACGGG